ensembl:lncRNA
CCCCAACUCAAGCUCUAUGUCUUUUUACCUCUUCAUACAGCCAUGUAGCCAUGAAGAUGUGAACCAUUCCUAGUUUCUCAAAAGUACCCUUAUGCUUUGUGCCAGUUGGAAUCUUCCGCUUACCUGUCAGAGGUAACAGCUGUUUCCAAGGCCAACGUUGUAGAUUAGUUUUGCCUCUUCUUGAACUUCACACAAGUGAGGUUGAGCUAUUUGCUCACUACCCCUGCUUUUAAUUUUGUUUUGUUUUUGUCUUUGAUGUUUUGCAGUCUCCUUAGGAUGUGGAGAACACAUUUAAGGACAGGCAGUCUCCUCCGUGAUAUGUGCGGCAUUUGCCCCAGCCCUUCGGUGGUGCACACAGGACUCCCCAGGCCAAGGGCAACCAAGGAGAUGAAAUCCAGGAGCCCUGAGCUAUAUCCCUGGCCCUUUUCGUUGUUUUUGAUGAUGAUGAUGAUGAUGAUGAUGAUGAUGAUGAAGAAACAGGAUCUUGUUAAGUUUCUCAGGCUCAACUGGACUCAAACUCUCAUGUCUCAGUCUCCAGAGUUGUUAUAGUUACUGGUGUGUCCCAUCACACCUGACUAAAUUGUUAAAUUUUAACUAUGGAAAAGUUGCUGGCUGGAUAAGCUCUCCUGCUCUGGCUGGAAUGCAGGGGAGAUGUCACGGCUGUGGUGCUUGGUGGCAAAGCACUUGUUUGCCACACAGGACACCCUGGGUUCAAUCCCCCGUACCACAAAAACAGAUAGAUAAAAUUGCUCAAGGAAGAAGGUUAUUUCAAAUGUCUUCCUUAUAGCAAUCUGACAGCACAACUGCUGAAUGCCAGACGUCCUCCUUUUCCAAAAGAUUGGAGCUAUUUUAAUAUUCACCUGAAAGAAAGUAGCCCCGUUCUCUGUGUAGAGAUAAAAGAGAAAAGGCUAUGCAGAGCAGUAAGCUCCAGAGAGGAAACAAAAGGAAAGAAUUUGUAUCACUGAACAAUAGUGAUGACAUGCUUGUACCACAUAGCAUAUGCUGUUCUGAGUACAUUACUAAGUCACCCUAGCAACACCAUCGCAAGUGGGUACUGCAAUGUUUUAUGGGUGGGCGCACUUGGGGCAGAGGUCAAUGCCUGCUCAAAUGUACAGUCAGGGAGGGCUCCUUGACUACCAGAUGCUGGGCAGUGCGGCAGGUAUGGGUUUUUCUUUCUAAGGAGCGUUCAGAACAAUGGAGGGGUCUCUUGUGGUCCAGGAACAUUAGGAAAUUUAGCAGUUUUAUGGAGUCCUGUCACUAUGUUUUUUUGGUUUUCAAAGAUUUUCCAAAGGCUCUGUGGAUAAGAAUCCAAAGGGUCAGGGGGCUUGAAUGAACAGUAAACAUAUUUUUUUAAAGUUACUUUUAGUAGUUCUUACCAUGAUUUAGAUUUUUUUCCAUUAUGAAUUGUUGUGGUUUG